rnacentral:tRNA from 1 species
GCCCCGGUAGCAUAGUGGCUAUUGCGUCGGCCUUGUAAGCCGAAGGUCGCGAGUUCAAAUCUCGCUCGGGGCUCCA